CUAACGGCCCUCUUUAGGGCCACAAAUCCAUGAGUAAUGCUUCUCU
rfam:Gongylonema pulchrum genome assembly, scaffold: GPTH_scaffold0001675